UACGUAGGGUGCGAGCGUUGUCCGGAAUUACUGGGCGUAAAGAGCUCGUAGGUGGUUUGUCGCGUUGUUCGUGAAAACCGGGGGCUUAACCCUCGGCGUGCGGGCGAUACGGGCAGACUUGAGUACUGCAGGGGAGACUGGGAAUUCCUGGUGUAGCGGUGGAAUGCGCAGAUAUCAGGAGGAACACCGGUGGCGAAGGCGGGUCUCUGGGCAGUAACUGACGCUGAGGAGCGAAAGCGUGGGGAGCGAACAGG
rnacentral:rRNA from 1 species